CAGCCGCCGCGGGAAUACGAAGGGGGCUAGCGUUGCUCGGAAUCACUGGGCGUAAAGGGUGCGUAGGCGGGUCUUUAAGUCAGGGGUGAAAUCCUGGAGCUCAACUCCAGAACUGCCUUUGAUACUGAAGAUCUUGAGUUCGGGAGAGGUGAGUGGAACUGCGAGUGUAGAGGUGAAAUUUGUAGAUAUUCGCAAGAACACCAGUGGCGAAGGCGGCUCACUGGCCCGAUACUGACGCUGAGGCACGAAAGCGUGGGGAGCAAACAGGAUUAGAUACCCCUGUAGUCCCUGUCUCUUAUAC
rnacentral:rRNA from 1 species